UACAGAGGUCUCAAGCGUUGUUCGGAUUCAUUGGGCGUAAAGGGUGCGUAGGUGGCGCCGUAAGUCAGGUGUGAAAUUUCGGAGCUCAACUCCGAAACUGCAUUUGAUACUGCGGUGCUUGAGGACUGGAGAGGAGACUGGAAUUCACGGUGUAGCAGUGAAAUGCGUAGAUAUCGUGAGGAAGACCAGUGGCGAAGGCGGGUCUCUGGACAGUUCCUGACGCUGAGGCACGAAGGCCAGGGGAGCAAACGGG
rnacentral:rRNA from 1 species